rnacentral:rRNA from 1 species
CGGACGGGUGAGUAACACGUGGGUAACCUGCCUGUAAGACUGGGAUAACUCCGGGAAACCGGAGCUAAUACCGGAUAGUUCCUUGAACCGCAUGGUUCAAGGAUGAAAGACGGUUUCGGCUGUCACUUACAGAUGGACCCGCGGCGCAUUAGCUAGUUGGUGGGGUAAUGGCUCACCAAGGCGACGAUGCGUAGCCGACCUGAGAGGGUGAUCGGCCACACUGGGACUGAGACACGGCCCAGACUCCUACGGGAGGCAGCAGUAGGGAAUCUUCCGCAAUGGACGAAAGUCUGACGGAGCAACGCCGCGUGAGUGAUGAAGGUUUUCGGAUCGUAAAGCUCUGUUGUUAGGGAAGAACAAGUGCGAGAGUAACUGCUCGCACCUUGACGGUACCUAACCAGAAAGCCACGGCUAACUACGUGCCAGCAGCCGCGGUAAUACGUAGGUGGCAAGCGUUGUCCGGAAUUAUUGGGCGUAAAGGGCUCGCAGGCGGUUUCUUAAGUCUGAUGUGAAAGCCCCCGGCUCAACCGGGGAGGGUCAUUGGAAACUGGGAAACUUGAG